GGGUUGUGAGGUUAAGCGACUAAGCGUACACGGUGGAUGCCCUGGCAGUCAGAGGCGAUGAAGGACGUGCUAAUCUGCGAUAAGCGUCGGUAAGGUGAUAUGAACCGUUAUAACCGGCGAUUUCCGAAUGGGGAAACCCAGUGUGAUUCGUCACACUAUCAUUAACUGAAUCCAUAGGUUAAUGAGGCGAACCGGGGGAACUGAAACAUCUAAGUACCCCGAGGAAAAGAAAUCAACCGAGAUUCCCCCAGUAGCGGCGAGCGAACGGGGAGCAGCCCAGAGCCUGAAUCAGUGUGUGUGUUAGUGGAAGCGUCUGGAAAGGCGCGCGAUACAGGGUGACAGCCCCGUACACAAAAAUGCACAUGCUGUGAGCUCGAUGAGUAGGGCGGGACACGUGGUAUCCUGUCUGAAUAUGGGGGGACCAUCCUCCAAGGCUAAAUACUCCUGACUGACCGAUAGUGAACCAGUACCGUGAGGGAAAGGCGAAAAGAACCCCGGCGAGGGGAGUGAAAAAGAACCUGAAACCGUGUACGUACAAGCAGUGGGAGCACAGAGCAAUCUGUGUGACUGCGUACCUUUUGUAUAAUGGGUCAGCGACUUAUAUUCUGUAGCAAGGUUAACCGAAUAGGGGAGCCGAAGGGAAACCGAGUCUUAACUGGGCGUUAAGUUGCAGGGUAUAGACCCGAAACCCGGUGAUCUAGCCAUGGGCAGGUUGAAGGUUGGGUAACACUAACUGGAGGACCGAACCGACUAAUGUUGAAAAAUUAGCGGAUGACUUGUGGCUGGGGGUGAAAGGCCAAUCAAACCGGGAGAUAGCUGGUUCUCCCCGAAAGCUAUUUAGGUAGCGCCUCGUGAAUUCAUCUCCGGGGGUAGAGCACUGUUUCGGCAAGGGGGUCAUCCCGACUUACCAACCCGAUGCAAACUGCGAAUACCGGAGAAUGUUAUCACGGGAGACACACGGCGGGUGCUAACGUCCGUCGUGAAGAGGGAAACAACCCAGACCGCCAGCUAAGGUCCCAAAGUCAUGGUUAAGUGGGAAACGAUGUGGGAAGGCCCAGACAGCCAGGAUGUUGGCUUAGAAGCAGCCAUCAUUUAAAGAAAGCGUAAUAGCUCACUGGUCGAGUCGGCCUGCGCGGAAGAUGUAACGGGGCUAAACCAUGCACCGAAGCUGCGGCAGCGACGCUGAUGCGUUGUUGGGUAGGGGAGCGUUCUGUAAGCCUGUGAAGGUGUGCUGUGAGGCAUGCUGGAGGUAUCAGAAGUGCGAAUGCUGACAUAAGUAACGAUAAAGCGGGUGAAAAGCCCGCUCGCCGGAAGACCAAGGGUUCCUGUCCAACGUUAAUCGGGGCAGGGUGAGUCGACCCCUAAGGCGAGGCCGAAAGGCGUAGUCGAUGGGAAACAGGUUAAUAUUCCUGUACUUGGUGUUACUGCGAAGGGGGGACGGAGAAGGCUAUGUUGGCCGGGCGACGGUUGUCCCGGUUUAAGCGUGUAGGCUGGUUUUCCAGGCAAAUCCGGAAAAUCAAGGCUGAGGCGUGAUGACGAGGCACUACGGUGCUGAAGCAACAAAUGCCCUGCUUCCAGGAAAAGCCUCUAAGCAUCAGGUAACAUCAAAUCGUACCCCAAACCGACACAGGUGGUCAGGUAGAGAAUACCAAGGCGCUUGAGAGAACUCGGGUGAAGGAACUAGGCAAAAUGGUGCCGUAACUUCGGGAGAAGGCACGCUGAUAUGUAGGUGAAGUCCCUCGCGGAUGGAGCUGAAAUCAGUCGAAGAUACCAGCUGGCUGCAACUGUUUAUUAAAAACACAGCACUGUGCAAACACGAAAGUGGACGUAUACGGUGUGACGCCUGCCCGGUGCCGGAAGGUUAAUUGAUGGGGUUAGCGCAAGCGAAGCUCUUGAUCGAAGCCCCGGUAAACGGCGGCCGUAACUAUAACGGUCCUAAGGUAGCGAAAUUCCUUGUCGGGUAAGUUCCGACCUGCACGAAUGGCGUAAUGAUGGCCAGGCUGUCUCCACCCGAGACUCAGUGAAAUUGAACUCGCUGUGAAGAUGCAGUGUACCCGCGGCAAGACGGAAAGACCCCGUGAACCUUUACUAUAGCUUGACACUGAACAUUGAGCCUUGAUGUGUAGGAUAGGUGGGAGGCUUUGAAGUGUGGACGCCAGUCUGCAUGGAGCCGACCUUGAAAUACCACCCUUUAAUGUUUGAUGUUCUAACGUUGACCCGUAAUCCGGGUUGCGGACAGUGUCUGGUGGGUAGUUUGACUGGGGCGGUCUCCUCCUAAAGAGUAACGGAGGAGCACGAAGGUUGGCUAAUCCUGGUCGGACAUCAGGAGGUUAGUGCAAUGGCAUAAGCCAGCUUGACUGCGAGCGUGACGGCGCGAGCAGGUGCGAAAGCAGGUCAUAGUGAUCCGGUGGUUCUGAAUGGAAGGGCCAUCGCUCAACGGAUAAAAGGUACUCCGGGGAUAACAGGCUGAUACCGCCCAAGAGUUCAUAUCGACGGCGGUGUUUGGCACCUCGAUGUCGGCUCAUCACAUCCUGGGGCUGAAGUAGGUCCCAAGGGUAUGGCUGUUCGCCAUUUAAAGUGGUACGCGAGCUGGGUUUAGAACGUCGUGAGACAGUUCGGUCCCUAUCUGCCGUGGGCGCUGGAGAACUGAGGGGGGCUGCUCCUAGUACGAGAGGACCGGAGUGGACGCAUCACUGGUGUUCGGGUUGUCAUGCCAAUGGCACUGCCCGGUAGCUAAAUGCGGAAGAGAUAAGUGCUGAAAGCAUCUAAGCACGAAACUUGCCCCGAGAUGAGUUCUCCCUGACUCCUUGAGAGUCCUGAAGGAACGUUGAAGACGACGACGUUGAUAGGCCGGGUGUGUAAGCGCAGCGAUGCGUUGAGCUAACCGGUACUAAUGAACCGUGAGGCUUAACCUUACAACGCCGAAG
rnacentral:rRNA from 1 species